UUUAGUGUUUGUAGAUUGAAUACAGGCAAAAAGAUCGUCUUCUCUGUCGAAAAACGUGAAAUAGACUGAAACCGGCUAUCUUUAAAACCCGGAACGGGGAAUGGGGGGACGGGGAAUGGGAGAACGGGAAGUGGGGGAACGGGGAACGGAGGGAAUGGAGGGGCGAGGGGGGAGGGAGGAAAUAGGAGACAGGGAGCGGGGGAGGUCUGCCAGAUUCUAUAAACCACAACUUUGUAGUUUGUACAACAUCUACUUUUAGGUAUUCUACCUAGAUAGUUAGAUACAUGACACAAACCAUAGGCUUCACAUAUUUCACGGCAUGGUUUGCUUUCAAAACCCUGUGAGCAUGCACAAAACCUAACUCACUAACUGCAUCUACUUAAAAUAGUACUAGGUGAUAAACUUACAAUCCUCACAUAGCCUCAAUCACAACAUGUGGCUAGGCAAAUAUACGAACUACACAGUUAACUUAUACCGUGACGACAUACGACAGUUCCGAGACCGAAAUACAGGACAACAGGGCCUUUUUUAAGGAUUUUUCCGUGGGGAGGGGGUAUUUUUUGAAAAGGGAUCUUAGAUAAUAUAUUAGAGGGGGAUAGCAAUGGCCGACGGCCACGGUGUGUGGCCGACAUACUCCCCCAGAAAAUGUUUUAAAUUUGAACCUUUCAAAUACCAUUUCCUGCUUUAUGAGCGUCUAAAUUUGCUCUAAAAUUUAUGCUAAUUAUACUUGUAUUUGAAAUAAAAGAAGGAAAAAAUGCAGAAAAAAAUAAAAGAAAUAUUAAAGGUGAUCUACAGUCCGAUCUGCGCAUGUGCACAAAUGAGCCCACUUUUAUGAUACAAACAGUUUAACUAUGUUUUGAGUUCUUGAAAAGCCUGAUUGUUGUUUCUUGAUCAUUUAUUAUACUCUAGAAGCUUGAAAAUAUAAAUAGUUGUCGAAUAAAGCUCAAUAUUUUGGACACAAAAAUGUAAACAAAGACUUUGUUUACAUACGGACUGUAGAUCACCUUUAACAAUAAUUUAUCCAUUACUUAUUAUUAAAGGGGGAUAGCAAUGGCCGUGGGUCACGUGUGUGGCCGACAUACCGCGAAUGAAUAGGGGGUCUGGAGGCAUUAACUCCCCAGAAAAUUUUUGAAAUUUCAAGCCCAAAAAUGCCAUUUCCUGCCGUCUGAGCAUCUAAAUUUUCUAGAAUUUAUCCUAACUAUACUUCUAUUUGAAAUAAAAGAAGGAAAAAACACAC
rnacentral:lncRNA from 1 species